rnacentral:rRNA from 1 species
AUUGAACGCUGGCGGCAUGCCUUACACAUGCAAGUCGAACGGCAGCACGGGAGCAAUCCUGGUGGCGAGUGGCGAACGGGUGAGUAAAGUAUCGGAACGUGCCCAGUCGUGGGGGAUAACGUAGCGAAAGUUACGCUAAUAGCGCAUACGAUCUAUGGAUGAAAGCGGGGGAUCGCAAGACCUCGCGCGAUUGGAGCGGCCGAUAGCAGAUUAGGUAGUUGGUGGGGUAAAGGCUCACCAAGCCGACGAUCUGUAGCUGGUCUGAGAGGACGACCAGCCACACUGGGACUGAGACACGGCCCAGACUCCUACGGGAGGCAGCAGUGGGGAAUUUUGGACAAUGGGCGCAAGCCUGAUCCAGCCAUGCCGCGUGCAGGAUGAAGGCCUUCGGGUUGUAAACUGCUUUUGUACGGAACGAAAAGGUUUGACUUAAUACGUUGGACUCAUGACGGUACCGUAAGAAUAAGCACCGGCUAACUACGUGCCAGCAGCCGCAGUAA